rnacentral:rRNA from 1 species
AGUGGCGGACGGGUGAGUAACGCGUAAGAAUCUAACUUCAGGACGGGGACACCAGUUGGAAACGACUGCUAAUACCCGAUGUGCCGCAAGGUGAAACCUAAUUGGCCUGGAGAAGAGCUUGCGUCUGAUUAGCUAGUUGGUGGGGUAAAGGCCUACCAAGGCGACGAUCAGUAGCUGGUCUCAGAGGAUGAGCAGCCACACUGGGACUGAGACACGGCCCAGACUCCUACGGGAGGCAGCAGUGGGGAAUUUUCCGCAAUGGGCGAAAGCCUGACGGAGCAACGCCGCGUGAGGGAGGAAGGUCUUUGGAUUGUAAACCUCUUUUCUCAAGGAAGAAGUUCUGACGGUACUUGAGGAAUCAGCCUCGGCUAACUCCGUGCCAGCAGCCGCGGUAAUACGGGGGAGGCAAGCGUUAUCCGGAAUUAUUGGGCGUAAAGCGUCCGCAGGUGGUCAGCCAAGUCUGCCGUCAAAUCAGGUUGCUUAACGACCUAAAGGCGGUGGAAACUGGCAGACUAGAGAGCAGUAGGGGUAGCAGGAAUUCCCAGUGUAGCGGUGAAAUGCGUAGAGAUUGGGAAGAACAUCGGUGGCGAAAGCGUGCUACUGGGCUGUAUCUGACACUCAGGGACGAAAGCUAGGGGAGCGAAAGGGAUUAGAUACCCCUGUAGUCCUAGCCGUAAACGAUGGAUACUAGGCGUGGCUU